UACUACAAACUCCAAAGUGUUAGGUUAUCUCCAACGGGGGUUUUAGGGAAGAGUUUUAGUGGAAAAGUAGAAAAAAAAAAAUCAAAAAGGAAAAAAAAGAAGAAGGGCUCCUCAAAGAUCGUCCAUCUUGGCUCCGUGAUUGUCAAUGUGUGGAUACUCUAAGUGUGAUGGAAGCUAUGUGGUGAGUUCUUGGAUCUGUUUGUAUUCUGUCAGCUACAGGAGCUGUUUGUUUCAUGAGACCAAACUCUUGCGGUGGGUAAACGCAAGCUCCAAGCUCGUCAAUCUGUACAUUGGUUCCUUGACACAACUUCAGUAGUUUCUCAAGAGAGUCCACAAACUCACCGUUAUCCUUUGGAUUCUCCAGCUUGAUCAUGCCUGUGAUAGCACGGCUAAGCUCUUAAUCAAUAAGCAAAAGAAGAUAGAGUCUUCUUACCGUAUAGUGAGACAGAACCCUGCAAAAAUCUGAAGCUGGAAUCGACAAUUUGUUUCACAGAGGAUUGUAUGGAUGAAGAAAGUGUAGUCCCAGUACCAGCCAUGCUUCCAUGACAAUGCAGCAAAAAAACCUUGAAGAGCGUUGAAGUAUGACUCCAUAGCAUCCUUCAGUGCUUCAGCUUGUGGAGGUUCUCCAGUUCAUAGCAUUCCCGCUAUUAAUGGAAUUGUGUCUAAUGUGAUGCUUCGGCAAUCUGUAUUCUCUCAGCUACAGGAGAUGUGUCUAAUGUGAUGCUUUGUCAAUCCACCAGUCCUAGUGGAAUUGUUAAGUUUGAGGGCCGAUAUGAAGGGAGCUGCUUUUUUUUUAUGUUCAUCUGUUUAAAUAAAGAGUUCAUGAGGAAAUUCUCUUUUUUGAUUCAAUGGUGUGUGGCUUUUGUUCUCUGUGCUAAGGAUCCUACAAUGGCUCAAUGAUGGCUUUGACUGAUCGUUGUCACUGCAUACUCUUCUCUUGGACAAAGGCAAAAAAGCUGUGAGGGAUUGACAAGAAAGGUAAAGUGCUCUUCUUCUCUUUUCUAUUUUUUUCGUUAUGAUUGAUGCAUGUGACUAUGGAAGAGGUACAACAUAACAUUGUGGGAUAUUUUUUUUUUUUUUUUUUGGUAAAAGGUUAAAUUUUGUACCAAAUUUUCUGUUUUUCUGUACAAAAGAAAAUAAGAAGCUAGAAAGGAAAGCUAAUACAAUGGAAAUAAAGAGCUAGAAGGGAAUUUGGGGAGUCAGUCGAUUCUGGCAGCGAGAUAAGGCGGUUGCGAAUAGUUCGAUCCACCUUGGCUUGAAGCGUUGCGGAAGGGGUGGCGACAUUGGUGAAGACUCUGGCAUUGCGUUCCCGCCACAGAAGGUAGCAAGCGACUUGCAGGACAAGCUUGAGGAG